rnacentral:rRNA from 1 species
CACGUAGGCACCAAGCGUUGUCCGGAUUUAUUGGGCGUAAAGAGCUUGUAGGCGGUUCGGUUAGUCGGGUGUGAAACCUCUGGGCUCAACUCAGAGACGCCACCCGAUACUGCUGUGACUAGAGUGCGGUAGGGGAGCGGGGAAUUCCACGUGUAGCAGUGAAAUGCGUAGAGAUGUGGAGGAACACCGAUGGCGAAGGCAGCCCCCUGGGCUAACACUGACGCUCAUGCACGAAAGCGUGGGGAGCAAACAGG